rnacentral:lncRNA from 1 species
AUGAAUCCCCCUGCUCCUCAUUUGCAAGGGUUUCAGGACACCUGAAAAAGAAAAAUGGAGUCUUCGGACUUCCAAGGUAAGUCUCCUACAAAUACUUACUCGUAUUUGGGGCCGCAAUGUCCAUGGCUAGCUUGUGUACUCACGCUAAACAACAUACAGUAUGAAGAACAUUUAGCAAGCUGUACGUAUCUUCUGGUAGAAUGUUACAGAGUCAGUACUACAGCUGCUUUGACAUUGAAGCUCUUUAACAUGACCCAGGUGUACACGCAACAGGUUGGCUAAUUGCAUCCAGGACAGAGCUCCCAUUGGCAAAAUCGAUCCAUGUACAAUUCAGAAACAUGACUUCGUCAGCUUGAGGAUUUGACUGUCUACGGAAGAGGGUUCGGGAACCAUAAUUCUCUUGGUCGCACAGUUCGUGAACGGCAGUAACAAACCCAACCUGCAAAGUUGAGGUAUCAUGGUCCGAGAGCGGAAUAGUCAUGGUCUUGCCGGGACCGCAGCAG